rnacentral:tRNA from 1 species
AUUAUAUUGGCAGAUUAGUGCAUUAAAUUUAGAAUUUAAUUAAAUAGAGUUAUUUUAUAUAUAAUA